rnacentral:rRNA from 1 species
GACGAACGCUGGCAGCAUGCUUAACACAUGCAAGUCUACCUGAACUUCGGUGCUUGUGGCGGACGCGCGAGUGACGCGUAAAGAACUUGCCCCAGAGUAAGGUACAACUUAUGGAAACGAAUGCUAAGACCAGAUAUUAUGAUAUUAGGUCAGCGUAAAUUUAUGAAAGCUAUAUGCGCUGUGAGAGAGCUUUGCGUCCCAUUAGCUAGUUGGAGAGGUAACGUCUCACCAAGGCGAUGAUGGGUAGCCGGCCUGAGAGGGUGGACGGCCACAAGGGCACGGAGACACGGCCCUUACUCCUACGGGAGGCAGCAGUGGGGAAUAUUGGACAAGGGACCAAAAGUCUGGUACAGCAAUUCUGUGUGCAAGAUGACGUUUUUCGGAAUGUAAAGUGCUUUCAGUUGGGAAGAAAAAAAUGACGGUACCAACAGAAGAAGUGACGGCUAAAUACGUG